UACGGCUACCUUGUUACGACUUCUUAGAGGGACUGUUGGCGACUAGCCAAUGGAAGUUUGAGGCAAUAACAGGUCUGUGAUGCCCUUAGAUGUUCUGGGCCGCACGCGCGUUACACUGAUGCAUUCAACGAGCCUAUCCUUGACCGAGAGGUCCGGGUAAUCUGCGAAACUGCAUCGUGAUGGGGAUAGAUUAUUGCAAUUAUUAAUCUUCAACGAGGAAUGCCUAGUAAGCGCAAGUCAUCAGCUUGCGUUGAUUACGUCCCUGCCCUUUGUACACACCGCCCGUCGCUCCUACCGAUUGGAUGUGCUGGUGAAGCGUCCGGAUUGGUGACAGGCGACGGUUCGCCGCUGCUUGUUGCCGAGAAGUUCGUUAAACCCUCCCAUCUAGAGGAAGGAGAAGUCGUAACAAGGUAACCGUCAUCUAGAGGGCCCA
rnacentral:rRNA from 1 species